rnacentral:rRNA from 1 species
AGGGCGCACGGUGGAUGCCUUGGCACUAGAAGCCGAUGAAGGACGUUACUAACGACGAUAUGCUUUGGGGAGCUGUAAGUAAGCGUUGAUCCAGAGAUUUCCGAAUGGGGAAACCCAGCAUGAGUUAUGUCAUGUUAUCGAUAUGUGAAUACAUAGCAUAUCAGAAGGCAGACCCGGAGAACUGAAACAUCUUAGUACCCGGAGGAAGAGAAAGAAAAAUCGAUUCCCUGAGUAGCGGCGAGCGAAACGGGAAGAGCCCAAACCAACAAGCUUGCUUGUUGGGGUUGUAGGACACUCUAUACGGAGUUACAAAAGUAUAUAUUAGACGAAUCAUCUGGAAAGUUGAAUCAAAGAAGGUAAUAAUCCUGUAGUCGAAAAUAUAUACUCUCUUGAGUGGAUCCUGAGUACGACGGAGCACGUGAAAUUCCGUCGGAAUCUGGGAGGACCAUCUCCUAAGGCUAAAUACUCUCUAGUGACCGAUAGUGAACCAGUACCGUGAGGGAAAGGUGAAAAGUACCCCGGAAGGGGAGUGAAAGAGAACUUGAAACCGUGUGCUUACAAGUAGUCAGAGCCCGUUAAUGGGUGAUGGCGUGCCUUUUGUAGAAUGAACCGGCGAGUUACGAUUUGAUGCAAGGUUAAGCAGCUAAUGUGGAGCCGUAGCGAAAGCGAGUCUGAAUAGGGCGUUUAGUAUUUGGUCGUAGACCCGAAACCAGGUGAUCUACCCUUGGUCAGGUUGAAGUUCAGGUAACACUGAAUGGAGGACCGAACCGACUUACGUUGAAAAGUGAGCGGAUGAACUGAGGGUAGCGGAGAAAUUCCAAUCGAACUUGGAGAUAGCUGGUUCUCUCCGAAAUAGCUUUAGGGCUAGCCUCAAGUGAUGAUUAUUGGAGGUAGAGCACUGUUUGGACGAGGGGCCCUUCUCGGGUUACCGAAUUCAGACAAACUCCGAAUGCCAAUCAAUUUAACUUGGGAGUCAGAACAUGGGUGAUAAGGUCCGUGUUCGAAAGGGAAACAGCCCAGACCACCAGCUAAGGUCCCAAAAUAUAUGUUAAGUGGAAAAGGAUGUGGCGUUGCCCAGACAACUAGGAUGUUGGCUUAGAAGCAGCCAUCAUUUAAAGAGUGCGUAAUAGCUCACUAGUCGAGUGACACUGCGCCGAAAAUGUACCGGGGCUAAACAUAUUACCGAAGCUGUGGAUUGUCCGUAGGACAAUGGUAGGAGAGCGUUCUAAGGGCGUCGAAGCAUGAUCGCAAGGACAUGUGGAGCGCUUAGAAGUGAGAAUGCCGGUGUGAGUAGCGAAAGACGGGUGAGAAUCCCGUCCACCGAUUGACUAAGGUUUCCAGAGGAAGGCUCGUCCGCUCUGGGUUAGUCGGGUCCUAAGCUGAGGCCGACAGGCGUAGGCGAUGGAUAACAGGUUGAUAUUCCUGUACCACCUAGUAUCGUUUUAAUCGAUGGGGGGACGCAGUAGGAUAGGCGAAGCGUGCUAUUGGAUUGCACGUCCAAGCAGUAAGACUGAGUGUUAGGCAAAUCCGGCACUCAUAAGGUCAAGCUGUGAUGGGGAGAGGAAAUUGUUUCCUCGAGUCGUUGAUUUCACACUGCCAAGAAAAGCCUCUAGAUAGAUAACAGGUGCCCGUACCGCAAACCGACACAGGUAGUCAAGAUGAGAAUUCUAAGGUGAGCGAGCGAACUCUCGUUAAGGAACUCGGCAAAAUGACCCCGUAACUUCGGGAGAAGGGGUGCUCUUUAGGGUUAACGCCCAGAAGAGCCGCAGUGAAUAGGCCCAAGCGACUGUUUAUCAAAAACACAGGUCUCUGCUAAACCGUAAGGUGAUGUAUAGGGGCUGACGCCUGCCCGGUGCUGGAAGGUUAAGAGGAGUAGUUAGCUUCUGCGAAGCUACGAAUCGAAGCCCCAGUAAACGGCGGCCGUAACUAUAACGGUCCUAAGGUAGCGAAAUUCCUUGUCGGGUAAGUUCCGACCCGCACGAAAGGCGUAACGAUUUGGGCACUGUCUCAACGAGAGACUCGGUGAAAUCAUAGUACCUGUGAAGAUGCAGGUUACCCGCGACAGGACGGAAAGACCCCGUGGAGCUUUACUGUAGCCUGAUAUUGAAAUUCGGCACAGCUUGUACAGGAUAGGUAGGAGCCUUUGAAACGUGAGCGCUAGCUUACGUGGAGGCAUUGGUGGGAUACUACCCUAGCUGUGUUGGCUUUCUAACCCGCACCACUUAUCGUGGUGGGAGACAGUGUCAGGUGGGCAGUUUGACUGGGGCGGUCGCCUCCUAAAAGGUAACGGAGGCGCUCAAAGGUUCCCUCAGAAUGGUUGGAAAUCAUUCAUAGAGUGUAAAGGCAUAAGGGAGCUUGACUGCGAGACUUACAAGUCGAGCAGGGUCGAAAGACGGACUUAGUGAUCCGGUGGUUCCGCAUGGAAGGGCCAUCGCUCAACGGAUAAAAGCUACCCCGGGGAUAACAGGCUUAUCUCCCCCAAGAGUUCACAUCGACGGGGAGGUUUGGCACCUCGAUGUCGGCUCAUCGCAUCCUGGGGCUGUAGUCGGUCCCAAGGGUUGGGCUGUUCGCCCAUUAAAGCGGUACGCGAGCUGGGUUCAGAACGUCGUGAGACAGUUCGGUCCCUAUCCGUCGUGGGCGUAGGAAAUUUGAGAGGAGCUGUCCUUAGUACGAGAGGACCGGGAUGGACAUACCUCUGGUGUACCAGUUGUCGUGCCAACGGCAUAGCUGGGUAGCUAUGUAUGGACGGGAUAAGUGCUGAAAGCAUCUAAGCAUGAAGCCCCCCUCAAGAUGAGAUUUCCCAACUUCGGUUAU